AUGGCCAUGGCGGGGCGUCCUCCGUUCCUGGCCGUGGCGCUGCUGCUGGUGGCCACGGUGAUGCUGAGCUGGGGCGGCAAUGUGGAGGUGGCGGAGGCGCAGACGCCGGUGUUCGCGUGCGACGCGUCGAACGCGACGCUGGCGUCCUACGGGUUCUGCAACCGGAAGGCGUCGGCGUCGGCGCGCGCCAAGGACCUGGUGUCGCGGCUGACGCUGGCGGAGAAGGUGGGGUUCCUGGUGAACAAGCAGCCGGCGCUGGGGCGGCUGGGCAUCCCGGCCUACGAGUGGUGGUCCGAGGCGCUGCACGGGGUGUCCUACGUGGGGCCCGGCACCCGGUUCUCGCCGCUGGUGCCCGGCGCCACCAGCUUCCCGCAGCCCAUCCUCACCGCCGCCUCCUUCAACGCCUCCCUCUUCCGCGCCAUCGGCGAGGUGGUGUCGACGGAGGCGCGGGCGAUGCACAACGUGGGGCUGGCGGGGCUCACCUUCUGGAGCCCCAACAUCAACAUCUUCCGGGACCCGCGGUGGGGCCGCGGCCAGGAGACGCCCGGCGAGGACCCGCUGCUCGCCAGCAAGUACGCCGUCGGAUACGUCACCGGCCUCCAGGACGCCGGCGCGGCGGGCGUCGUCGACGGCGCGCUCAAGGUCGCCGCCUGCUGCAAGCACUACACCGCCUACGACGUCGACAACUGGAAGGGCGUCGAGCGCUACACCUUCGACGCCAAGGUGUCGCAGCAGGACCUGGACGACACGUUCCAGCCGCCGUUCAAGAGCUGCGUGCUGGACGGCAAUGUGGCCAGCGUCAUGUGCUCCUACAACAAGGUGAACGGGAAGCCCACCUGCGCCGACAAAGACCUCCUCUCCGGAGUCAUCAGAGGGGACUGGAAGCUCAACGGAUACAUCGUGUCCGACUGCGACUCCGUCGACGUGCUCUACACCCAGCAGCACUACACCAAGACGCCCGAGGAGGCCGCCGCCAUCACCAUCAAAUCAGGGCUGGACCUCAACUGCGGCAACUUCCUGGCAGAGCACACGGUGGCGGCGGUGCAGGCCGGCGAGCUGUCGGAGGAGGACGUCGACCGGGCCAUCACCAACAACUUCAUCAUGCUCAUGCGCCUGGGCUUCUUCGACGGCGACCCCAGGGAGCUUGCCUUCGGCAGCCUCGGCCCCAAAGACGUGUGCACGUCUUCCAACCGGGAGCUGGCGCGCGAGACCGCGCGCCAGGGCAUCGUGCUGCUCAAGAACAACGGCGCGCUGCCGCUCUCGGCCAAGUCCAUCAAGUCCAUGGCCGUCAUUGGGCCCAACGCCAAUGCCAGCUUCACCAUGAUCGGCAACUACGAAGGCACGCCGUGCAAGUACACGACGCCGCUCCAGGGCCUGGGCGCCAACGUCAACACCGUGUACCAGCCGGGGUGCACCAACGUCGGCUGCAGCGGGAACAGCCUCCAGCUCAGCACCGCCGUGGCGGCCGCGGCCAGUGCCGACGUGACCGUGCUCGUCGUCGGCGCCGACCAGUCCAUUGAGCGCGAGAGCCUGGACAGGACGAGCCUCCUCUUGCCGGGCCAGCAGACGCAGCUCGUGUCGGCCGUCGCCAACGCCUCCAGGGGCCCUGUCAUCCUCGUCGUCAUGUCCGGCGGGCCGUUCGACAUCUCGUUCGCCAAGGCCAGCGACAAGAUCUCCGCCAUUCUUUGGGUCGGCUACCCCGGCGAAGCCGGCGGCGCCGCCAUUGCCGACAUCCUGUUCGGCAGCCACAACCCAAGUAAGUGCCGUUCCGUCUCUGCAUCAUUUUCUCUCAGGUGCUCGUCAGUGGUCACCACAUUAUGCCGAGCAUUCUCUGACGACCGAGCACUCUGUUUUGGUCAUGGACGCGCAGGUGGGAGGCUGCCGGUGACGUGGUACCCGGCGUCGUACGCCGACACGGUCAAGAUGACGGACAUGCGGAUGCGGCCGGACACGUCGACGGGCUACCCGGGGCGGACGUACCGGUUCUACACGGGAGACACGGUGUUCGCCUUCGGUGACGGGCUGAGCUACACGAAGAUGUCCCACAGCCUCGUGGCCGCGCCGCCGUCGUACGUGUCCAUGCAGCUGGCCGAGGACCACCCGUGCCGCGCCGAGGAGUGCGCGUCGGUGGAGGCCGCGGGCGACCACUGCGAGGACCUGGCCUUCGACGUGAAGCUCCGGGUGCAGAACGCCGGCGAGGUGGCCGGCGCGCACUCGGUGCUGCUGUUCUCGUCGCCGCCGUCGGCGCACAACGCGCCGGCGAAGCACCUGCUCGGGUUCGAGAAGGUGUCGCUGGCGCCCGGGGAGGCCGGCACGGUGGCGUUCAGAGUGGACGUGUGCAGGGACCUGAGCGUGGCGGACGAGCUGGGCGGCCGCAAGGUGGCGCUCGGCGGCCACACGCUGCACGUCGGCGACCUCAAGCACACCGUGGAGCUACGGGUCUGA
rnacentral:rRNA from 1 species